AAGCUUUGACUCUUCCUAUAUAAGAAAAGCUGGAGGCAGGAGACCCACCACAACCCAAUCUCGCACGGACCCUAGAAAGGGAGGCAUCUCCGAUGGGUGAUCUUGGCAACACAGGCGCUGUUGCGUGUAUCCGGUAUUCAUUCAUUCGAUUCUCGCUAUUAUAUCAGCGCAUGUGUUUUCAGGUCACCCCUUUGAGAUGAUCAUACUCUUUUCCUUCCACAUAUCGAUAAUGACCCUCCCAAAUUAAUCGGCAUGGCUUCUUUGUCUCGUUGAGAUCAGGUGACUUGCUUUUAGGAUUCAACAUGGUGAUUGAGGUGCUUUGGAAAUUCAUUUUCAUGAUUGUACUAAGCUUCUUUUUCCAUAUUUGUAAUAAGAAUCUCAGUGCCAAUUUUUUGUCGCCAUUAUUUCUAGGGAAGUAUACUACAAUUAUGUAAAACUACUGAUUGUUGCUCUAGCUGCUUCCUCUGGUCACGACGAGUUGAGAUUAAAGUGCUCGUUAGUGAUUCACCCGAGUAGAGCAUGAGUGAGGUCAUAAAAACCUCUUGGACCAGAGGUGGUGUAGAAGAAGUAAAGUCUCUCCAAUUCCUCCUCACAGUUUGGAUGAUCUUGCACAGGUUGACAGUUUGAUGUGGUGCAAUUUUAUGCCAAAAUCUCAAGGCACAAGUGGUCAAUAUGAAGAAAUGGCUUUACGUCUGAAAUGUAUGCCGACCCUUGCCAGCCACAAGUGAGGAUGUGGGUGCUCCGUCCCUUGCCUAGAUCUAGCGAGGGCCGCAACGCCCUUGCCAAAUCUGGCCAGACGAGGGCAUGGCGGCCCUCACUUGAUCUGGGCCUGCCUAAUGCUAGUGAGGGUCAGCCGGCAACCAUCACCAGCCUAAAUGGAGGAAAAAAAAAAUAAAGAAAAGCAAAGAAAGAGAAAGAAUUAUAAAAUAUUACUAAUUGGUUGUGGAAGUGUUGUAGAGAGAAUAUGAGAAAACUGUACCAGGCAACUUGAGAAACAUUUAUACCUAAUUGUAGUACAAGUAUAACACUCCAAUAAAUCCCACAACUAUUACAUUUUAAUUUUCUUGCCCCCACACACAAAACACUUAAAGCAAACUAGCUUUUAUGAAGACACCAGCAACUCUUAUUUUUCUCUCCCUUACGGACGGGCAACUUUCUUUUUUUCUAAUUGUGAAGCUAUUGCCGUUGCGGCUUUUGUGUGGUUUUCACCAAAGCUCAUCGUUUUGUGGCUUGCCAAAUGAAUGCUUCUGAUGGCCUUAAUUCAUAGCUAGGAUAAAUACCAAAUUAGUCUUAAAUUUAUUGUACGUAUGUCAAUUCAGUCAUAGCUUUUUUAAUUUUCUAAAUGUAGUCUUAAAUAUUUGCAC
rnacentral:lncRNA from 1 species